GGAGAGGUGGCAGAGUGGUCGAAUGCGGCGGUCUCGAAAACCGUUGUCCAGGGUAACUUGGAUCGAGAGUUCGAAUCUCUCCCUCUCCGCCA
rnacentral:tRNA from 1 species